rnacentral:tRNA from 1 species
GCUCAGUUGGUUGAGUGACCAACUCUUGGUUUCAGUUCAGGUCAUGAUCUUACAGUUUGUGGGUUCGAGCCCUGCAUUGGGCU